ACUCUAAGCGGUGGAUCACUCGGCUCAUGGGUCGAUGAAGAACGCAGCAAACUGUGCGUCAUCGUGUGAACUGCAGGACACAUGAACAUCGACAUUUUGAACGCAUAUCGCAGUCCAUGCUGUUAUGUACUUUAAUUAAUUUUAUAGUGCUGCUUGGACUACAUAUGGUUGAGGGUUGUAAGACUAUGCUAAUUAAGUUGCUUAUAAAUUUUUAUAAGCAUAUGGUAUAUUAUUGGAUAAAUAUAAUAAUUUUUAUUCAUAAUAUUAAAAAAUAAAUGAAAAACAUUAUCUCACAUUUGAAUGUGAAAAACGAAGAGAAAUAUUUUCUUUUUCAAUCAAAUAAUACUGAGAAAUGUCUAGCAUAAAAAAUUGAAAUAUUUUUCAUCUAGAAUUGUCUCUUAUUAAUGAUUCGGAAAUAGAAAAAUCUUGGUUAUGUUAUUAUUCUUCGUUGGUUCGUUAAAAAUGGAUAAAUAAAAACUUUGCAUACAAGAAUUAAUAAAAAUGUUAUAACGAAUUUAAUUAAAUGUUUUAUCAUUAUAUAUAAAGAAUUUAUGGCAAGAUAAAGUUAUAUACAACCUCAACUCAUAUGGGACUACCCCCUGAAUUUAAGCAUAUUAAUUAGGGGAGGAAAAGAAACUAACAAGGAUUUUCUUAGUAGCGGCGAGCGAAAAGAAAACAGUUCAGCACUAAGUCACUUUGUCUAUAUGGCAAAUGUGAGAUGCAGUGUAUGGAGCGUCAAUAUUCUAGUAUGAGAAAUUAACGAUUUAAGUCCUUCUUAAAUGAGGCCAUUUACCCAUAGAGGGUGCCAGGCCCGUAUAACGUUAAUGAUUACUAGAUGAUGUUUCCAAAGAGUCGUGUUGCUUGAUAGUGCAGCACUAAGUGGGUGGUAAACUCCAUCUAAAACUAAAUAUAACCAUGAGACCGAUAGUAAACAAGUACCGUGAGGGAAAGUUGAAAAGAACUCUGAAUAGAGAGUUAAACAGUACGUGAAACUGCUUAGAGGUUAAGCCCGAUGAACCUGAAUAUCCGUUAUGGAAAAUUCAUCAUUAAAAUUGUAAUAUUUAAAUAAUAUUAUGAGAAUAGUGUGCAUUUUUUCCAUAUAAGGACAUUGUAAUCUAUUAGCAUAUACCAAAUUUAUCAUAAAAUAUAACUUAUAGUUUAUUCCAAUUAAAUUGCUUGCAUUUUAACACAGAAUAAAUGUUAUUAAUUUGAUAAAGUGCUGAUAGAUUUAUAUGAUUACAGUGCGUUAAUUUUUCGGAAUUAUAUAAUGGCAUAAUUAUCAUUGAUUUUUGUGUUUAUUAUAUGCACUUGUAUGAUUAACAAUGCGAAAGAUUCAGGAUACCUUCGGGACCCGUCUUGAAACACGGACCAAGGAGUCUAACAUAUGUGCAAGUUAUUGGGAUAUAAACCUAAUAGCGUAAUUAACUUGACUAAUAAUGGGAUUAGUUUUUUAGCUAUUUAUAGCUAAUUAACACAAUCCCGGGGCGUUCUAUAUAGUUAUGUAUAAUGUAUAUUUAUAUUAUUUAUGCCUCUAACUGGAACGUACCUUGAGCAUAUAUGCUGUGACCCGAAAGAUGGUGAACUAUACUUGAUCAGGUUGAAGUCAGGGGAAACCCUGAUGGAAGACCGAAACAGUUCUGACGUGCAAAUCGAUUGUCAGAAUUGAGUAUAGGGGCGAAAGACCAAUCGAACCAUCUAGUAGCUGGUUCCUUCCGAAGUUUCCCUCAGGAUAGCUGGUGCAUUUUAAUAUUAUAUAAAAUAAUCUUAUCUGGUAAAGCGAAUGAUUAGAGGCCUUAGGGUCGAAACGAUCUUAACCUAUUCUCAAACUUUAAAUGGGUAAGAACCUUAACUUUCUUGAUAUGAAGUUCAAGGUUAUGAUAUAAUGUGCCCAGUGGGCCACUUUUGGUAAGCAGAACUGGCGCUGUGGGAUGAACCAAACGUAAUGUUACGGUGCCCAAAUUAACAACUCAUGCAGAUACCAUGAAAGGCGUUGGUUGCUUAAAACAGCAGGACGGUGAUCAUGGAAGUCGAAAUCCGCUAAGGAGUGUGUAACAACUCACCUGCCGAAGCAACUAGCCCUUAAAAUGGAUGGCGCUUAAGUUGUAUACCUAUACAUUACCGCUAAAGUAGAUGAUUUAUAUUACUUGUGAUAUAAAUUUUGAAACUUUAGUGAGUAGGAAGGUACAAUGGUAUGCGUAGAAGUGUUUGGCGUAAGCCUGCAUGGAGCUGCCAUUGGUACAGAUCUUGGUGGUAGUAGCAAAUAAUCGAAUGAGACCUUGGAGGACUGAAGUGGAGAAGGGUUUCGUGUGAACAGUGGUUGAUCACGAGUUAGUCGGUCCUAAGUUCAAGGCGAAAGCCGAAAAUUUUCAAGUAAAACAAAAAUGCCUAACUAUAUAAACAAAGCGAAUUAUAAUACACUUGAAUAAUUUUGAACGAAAGGGAAUACGGUUCCAAUUCCGUAACCUGUUGAGUAUCCGUUUGUUAUUAAAUAUGGGCCUCGUGCUCAUCCUGGCAACAGGAACGACCAUAAAGAAGCCGUCGAGAGAUAUCGGAAGAGUUUUCUUUUCUGUUUUAUAGCCGUACUACCAUGGAAGUCUUUCGCAGAGAGAUAUGGUAGAUGGGCUAGAAGAGCAUGACAUAUACUGUUGUGUCGAUAUUUUCUCCUCGGACCUUGAAAAUUUAUGGUGGGGACACGCAAACUUCUCAACAGGCCGUACCAAUAUCCGCAGCUGGUCUCCAAGGUGAAGAGUCUCUAGUCGAUAGAAUAAUGUAGGUAAGGGAAGUCGGCAAAUUAGAUCCGUAACUUCGGGAUAAGGAUUGGCUCUGAAGAUUGAGAUAGUCGGGCUUGAUUGGGAAACAAUAACAUGGUUUAUGUGCUCGUUCUGGGUAAAUAGAGUUUCUAGCAUUUAUGUUAGUUACUUGUUCCCCGGAUAGUUUAGUUACGUAGCCAAUUGUGGAACUUUCUUGCUAAAAUUUUUAAGAAUACUAUUUGGGUUAAACCAAUUAGUUCUUAUUAAUUAUAACGAUUAUCAAUUAACAAUCAAUUCAGAACUGGCACGGACUUGGGGAAUCCGACUGUCUAAUUAAAACAAAGCAUUGUGAUGGCCCUAGCGGGUGUUGACACAAUGUGAUUUCUGCCCAGUGCUCUGAAUGUCAAAGUGAAGAAAUUCAAGUAAGCGCGGGUCAACGGCGGGAGUAACUAUGACUCUCUUAAGGUAGCCAAAUGCCUCGUCAUCUAAUUAGUGACGCGCAUGAAUGGAUUAACG
rnacentral:rRNA from 1 species